rnacentral:rRNA from 1 species
UACGAAGGGGGCUAGCGUUGCUCGGAAUACUGGGCGUAAAGCGCACGUAGGCGGAUUGUUAAGUCGGGGGUGAAAUCCUGGAGCUCAACUCCAGAACUGCCUUCGAUACUGGCGAUCUCGAGUUCGGGAGAGGUGAGUGGAACUGCGAGUGUAGAGGUGAAAUCGUAGAUAUCGCAAGAACACCAGUGGCGAAGGCGGCUCACUGGCCCG